rnacentral:rRNA from 1 species
CCUACGGGGAGCAGCAGUGAGGAAUAUUGGUCAAUGGCCGGAAGGCUGAACCAGCCAUGCCGCGUGAAGGUCAGUGCCCUAUGGGCGUUAAACUUCUUUUGUGCGGGAGCAAUAAUGGUCACGUGUGGCCAGACGAGAGUACCGUACGAAUAAGCAUCGGCUAACUCCGUGCCAGCAGCCGCGGUAAUACGGGGGAUGCAAGCGUUAGCCGGAUUUAUUGGGUUUAAAGGGUGCGUAGGCUGGGAGGUAAGUCAGCGGGGAAAUGCCCCCGCUCAACGGGGUGAAGUGCCAUUGAUACAGCCUUGCUGGAAUGCGGAUGCCGUGGGAGGAAUGUGUGGUGUAGCGGUGAAAUGCAUAGAUAUCACACAGAACACCGAUUGCGAAGGCAUCUCACGAAUCCGCGAUUGACGCUGAUGCACGAAAGCGUGGGUAUCAAACAGGAUUAGAUACCCGGGUAGUC